rnacentral:rRNA from 1 species
GACGAACGCUGGCGGCGUGCCUAAUACAUGCAAGUCGAACGCACUCUCGUUUAGAUUGGAGGAGUUUGCUCCUGAUUGAUAAACAUUUGAGUGAGUGGCGGACGGGUGAGUAACACGUGGGUAACCUGCCCUAAAGUGUGGGAGAACAUUUGGAAACAGAUGCUAAUACCGCAUAAAACCUAACACCGCAUGGUGUAGGGUUGAAAGAUGGUUUCGGCUAUCACUUUAUGAUGGACCCGCGGUGCAUUAGUUAGUUGGUGAGGUAAAGGCUCACCAAGACCGUGAUGCAUAGCCGACCUGAGAGGGUAAUGGGCCACACUGGGACUGAGAGACGGCCCAGACUCCUACGGGAGGCAGCAGUAGGGAAUCGUACAAAAUGGACGAAAGUUUGAUGGAGCAACGCCGCGUGAGUGAAGAAGGGUUUCGGAUCGUAAAACUCUGUUGUUGGAGAAGAAUGUAUCUGCUAGUAACUGAUCAGGUAGUGACGGUAUCCAACCAGAAAGCCACGGCUAACUACGUG